GCGGAAAUAGUUCAACGGUAGAGCCCCGCCUUCCCAAGGCGGUUGUUGCGAGUUCGAAUCUCGUUUUCCGCUCCA
rnacentral:tRNA from 1 species